CUGUGUUUCUCUCAAUUUUUUUUUCCUUCUGAAGGUACUGGUGGCAAUCUUUGUUGGAAGUGCAGUAAGUCUUUCCCAGAUGACCACUACUGCCAACAUCUGACCAAAUAUCUGGUUUUGACAUCAUUGAAAAAUGCCAGGGUGAAAAGAAUCAAGCCAUGGAGAAAAAGAAAACUCUUUCUAGAGCACUUGUGAUUAAAUCUGGAAAUAGAGGCACAUCUUCAGAUUGAAGCUUCAGCUCAUUUAGGCCAAGGCACUCAAAAUGUGACAGCUUUAUAGAUGAAUAAAAGUGACUUGCUACUCUGGAUCAAGAGCAAAGAAUGAGUCAGAGUUCUAUUCCUUACCAAAAAAGGCCUUAUAAAAGUUUCACCAGAAAACUGUGGAAGUGAUGGGGCUCAACACCUGCUGUCAUGUUGUAUUUCUGUAUAAAUUCCCUUAGGAAUGUACUUGUGCCACCUGCUUCAGCAGGGAGUGCAGCUUCUUUAAAAGUUUGGUCUUGGGGAAAUAGGGAAUUCAGAAUUCCUUGUCGUGCUGAGCUCCACCAAUUCCCCUUGCCCUCACUGAGGGCUGAAACUAAAGAGUUUUUCAGUGCACAGCCGGUGAAAUUAAAGCCCAUUAAAUUCUGCUCUCCUUCACUUAAGUGAGCCACUGCAAAACAAACAGCUUAGUCUCGGGAGAUUGCAGACACAUCCAAAGUGUUCGUUUUUAUUCAAAUGGCAACUGAUGGAGCCCAGUGGUGGAAAAGUUAAACAG